GUGAAUCAUCGAAUCUUUGAACGCAAAUUGCACUCUCUGGUAUUCCGGAGAGUAUGUCUGUUUGAGGGUCUGUUUAAAUAAAAAUCGGUGUGGUUGCUGUCUUUCGUGGUGACGCACCGGAUUUGGGUCGUCUUUUUUUCGGUUGCGUGUCCUAAAAUUCUGCAUGAUUUUUUUCGAAUUC
rnacentral:misc_RNA from 1 species